UGGGGAAUAUUGCACAAUGGGGGAAACCCUGAUGCAGCGACGCCGCGUGAACGAAGAAGGUAUUCGUAUCGUAAAGUUCUGUCCUAUGGGAAGAUAAUGACAGUACCAUAGAAGAAAGCUCCGGCUAAAUACGUGCCAGCAGCCGCGGUAAUACGUAUGGAGCGAGCGUUGUCCGGAAUUAUUGGGCGUAAAGGGUACGCAGGCGGUUUAAUAAGUCGAAUGUUAAAGAUCGGGGCGCAACCCCGCAAAGCAUUGGAAACUGAUAAACUUGAGUAGUGGAGAGGAAAGUGGAAUUCCUAGUGUAGUGGUGAAAUACGUAGAUAUUAGGAGGAAUACCAGUAGCGAAGGCGACUUUCUGGACACAAACUGACGCUGAGGUACGAAAGCGUGGGGAGCAAACAGG
rnacentral:rRNA from 1 species